UCAAAUUUGAAAUCUGGCACCUUCGGUGUCCGAGUUGUAAUUUGAAGAAGGUAACUUUGGAGUCAGCUCUUGUCUAUGUUCCUUGGAACAGGACGUCACAGAGGGUGAGAAUCCCGUGCGAUGAGAUGUCUGAUUCUAUGUAAAGUGCUUUCGAAGAGUCGAGUUGUUUGGGAAUGCAGCUCUAAGUGGGUGGUAAAUUCCAUCUAAAGCUAAAUAUUGGCGAGAGACCGAUAGCGAACAAGUACAGUGAUGGAAAGAUGAAAAGAACUUUGAAAAGAGAGUGAAAAAGUACGUGAAAUUGUUGAAAGGGAAGGGUUUGAGAUCAGACUUGGUAUUUUGUAUGUCUUGCUUUCGGGUGGGGCCUCUACAGUUUACUGGGCCAGCAUCGGUUUGGACGGUAGGAUAAUGACAUUGGAAUGUGGCACCACUUCGGUGGUGUGUUAUAGACUUUGUUGAUACUGCCUGUCUAGACCGAGGACUGCGUCUUUGACUAGGAUGCUGGCAUAAUGAUCUUAAAC
rnacentral:rRNA from 1 species